GGUUUUUGUGCCUUUUGCAUCAUGCUUGAUGGAUUUAGUAAAUUAUUUUAAUUGUUUAGAAGUAAGUGUUUAUCCUAGGUAAGGUUAGUUAAAUGAUUUAUAAGAAGUGAUAAAUUAGUCGUUAAAUUUUAUAUCUAUUUAGCUGCUUCGUGGUAUUGAGUUAAGUUAUGGGUUAUGAUAUCCAUAAUUUGUUUACACUACAAUUAAUUUUUAAUUAAAGAUUAGGUUAGAAUUACCUGUUUUUUAUAAGUUUGUUAAAAAUUUUUUGUUAUAUAAUUGGAUAGUUAAUUUAUGUAGUAGCUUAAUGAAAUUUUUAGUAUGCUAAUGAUCAUUAAAUAAGUAAUUAUAUUAUAUCAGUUAUUUCUCGGUAAUUUUCCGUCUGUUUAUUAAAAACAUUUCCAAUUUUAAUAAUAGUUGGUAUUACCUGCUCUAUGUUUAUAUAAAUGGCCGCAGUAUAUUGACUGUGCGAAGGUAGCAAUAAUUAAUUGCCUUUUAAUUGGGGGCUUGUUUGAAUGGUUUGACGUGAU
rnacentral:rRNA from 1 species